UUGUAGGUCAAGCUACUAAGAGCACGCGGUGGAUGCCUUGGCGCCAAGAGCCGAUGAAGGACGUGGCAGGCAGCGAAAUGCCUUGGGGAGCUGCGAGCAAGCUGUGAUCCGAGGAUGUCCGAAUGGGGAAACCCGGCUGGGGUAAUGCCCAGUCACUCCAGGCUGAAUACAUAGGCCUGGGAGAGGUAAGUCCGCGAACUGAAACAUCUCA
rnacentral:rRNA from 1 species